UUCCUUAGCUUAAUAAGAGCGGUGGUCUUGUAAGCCACGGGUGUAGGUAAAUUCUUAUGGGAA
rnacentral:tRNA from 1 species